ACUGAGCACACUCUACCAUCAACAAGGACAGCUCACCAGUGGGAGCUGAUACAUAAGACUGCUCUCAUCCAUUGAAGAGCUGACCAGAAACGUGAACAGAGAGACUGCAACUGCACCUGAUGGGAUCCCUGCCAUAACAGAUGUGUUCUGUCCAGUGAAGGCAGUAGAGAAGCCCUACACUGAUCUUGAAACUGUGCCACGCUAGUAGAGACCGCUACAAGGAUGGGCAGCUGUUUUCGCAAAGUCAGCCAACCACUUGCUUCCAAAUGACCCUUAUCCAGAAGUAUCCGUGAGUGCCUCAUCAACAGAAACUAAAGUGGAGACCUACCUCUCAGAGAAAAACGCACACAUAAGAAAAGCCGACCCACUUCAGUACUGGGAAGAACAUCCUAAUCUGUUUCCCUCUAUGGCUGCUGUUGCGAUCCCAGUGU